rnacentral:snoRNA from 1 species
AAGCCAACCAGUAGGUCUACUUACCUGAAUAUGUUUUUGUAGAAACUGUUAAAAAAAACUGGCAAUAGUAAAGUCAUGUUACAAGCUUUAAGGACAUUGAAGUUGUUGAGGUCCCUGAAGAUGGCUAUAACA